rnacentral:lncRNA from 1 species
AACCUUGAGCUGUGAUCCCUUGUGGGGCGAGCGUCCGCCAGCUCCAGUUUCCCACCCAGGAGGAUGCCCAAUUUCACCAGAUCCUGCAGGAAAGCCUUAAGUUUUUGGGACUUCAGAGAAUGACCAUAAGUACUACAGGUGCAGGUACUUCCUAGUGGAUCACAAGACAAGAUGGAUCAGCAUACACAGCUACUCAUGGAGUCAAUGGUGCAAGUGAUGCUUUACAGAGACAAGCAUUUACCCUUAAGUUAUUCAAGAUUGACAAAAUGCUCAUGAGCUGGUCAAUCUUGAUGUGACCUAAUUAGGUUUUGCCAACUUGACUUGUGAUAAUACGGCAUUCUUAUCCAGUGCCACCACAAAAUUCAUGGUCAAUUUCAAACUCACUUGCGCUACAAAUUCAGUUGCAGCCUGCAGCACCAAGCAACCUACACGACCGACUCCAAAUGACUGACUCGGUCAUUCAAAAGAACUAAUUUGCUUGUUGCACUGUAGCACCAUAUGGCAUUUGCAUCAGAUAAUGAUUGCGGUUGUCUUGUCAGUGGUUGAGCAAAUGCAACUUUACACGCAUGCCAGCUUAUAAAAAUCAUGGGCCUGGGGCUUCAGCUUCACCAGCUUGUUGAAUAAUUCACCCGUUUGUACCCAGUUUUCCUCUUUUCUCAGUCUUGUGUUUGUGUCAUUCUAGAUAUUACUUUUUUAUAUUUUACUCCUUGUGUAAUGUGUCUCCUCUCUUUUCUCUCACUGGAAGAUGGUCUCAUUAACAUGCAGGAUUCAAGUCAAAUAUUUCUUUUGGUGUUGGAUUUUAGCACUUGAAAAUGUGGGGGUGACUGGUGGUCAAUUUGCAAAGAAAUUUUUCGAUUUAUCAUGCCAGUUUUAAUCCAAAAGACUGACUAUACCACAUCCAAAGAAGAGUUAUACUUCUUGAAGAUUGAACCUGAUCUGAUUGUCACAUAGAUACUGUACAGGAGGAAAAUUCUUCUUCCUCAUAAUUGCUAUUUUCAGUGGUUUUCAGUUAUUGCAGAUGAAUUAAUUUUUUGUGACCUUGAGUUUAUGAAUUAAUCAUACAAGGACAAAUAAAUAUUGAUUGUCAGUUGACACAAGUCAGUUUGCUCAUGAACAAACAUGGCUGGACUUAAUCUGUUCAGUGUUUGUGUACCAAACAUUAUUUGAUCAUAAAUGGCCUGUUAACAUAAUUGUUAUUUUCAACAAUCUAUUUUCUAAGUUGGCUUUAUGGUCCAGAGACCAAACUCAUCUGCUUGGGACAUCAUGAACAGGAGGGGUUGAGCUCUAUCAUUCAGCAUUCAUGGACCACCUCCAGCUUCUCAGACCAGAAAUGAGUCGACUAGUUCCUCUUCUCCAAGUUGAACAGGAACAGUCAGCUCACCAACAAAGCUGUGGUUGCUGGGGUUAGUCUCCACCACAGAAAGAGUUCUCAAGUAGCUCAUAUAUGUAAAUUGUAUAUGAGAGCAAAUUACUGUACUCCAUUCUGUGUUUCACUACCACAAGUUUAGGGAGGAAGUCUUGUUGUGAGUUCCAGCAUUACCUCCGGGCAGCUUGCAUUCUUACCCUUAUUGAUACUUCACAGCUGUACAGUCACCUUUCUCCCAUGUAUUGUUCUUUCCAUUAUUUGUUGUUGGUUAGUGUUAAGUUUUCACUACUGAUGUGUUUAAAAAUUUCUCUUUUCAGCAUAGUUCCCUUUGUAGUACAGUACUGUAUAAUAUCUCAAAUUUCUGGGGUAUUAUAGUGAUAUGAUUUGGAAUUCUCAUUACCUAUGUUUAUACUAUUUUAUUGUGCCCUGAAAUGCACUCUUCGAGUAUUGAUAAGUUUCUCACAACAAGCUGAGAUGAUCUUUAUAUAGGUGAUUGGUCUCAUGUACACCCACAAAAAAAUUAUUCAGCACACGUGUCAUAUUGUAUCACGGCGUAAGGGUGCCGAAUAAUUUUUUAGUGGGUGUACGCUGGACUUCUGCCUAGCAUGUAGAGCCAUGCAGACAAUUAAUGAAGCUGAAUCCUGAAGGUAGUGCCACGAAGUGUUUUCCUCCCUUGCAGGACAGAGGCCCUUGUUUUUGAGUCGGAAACAAAUGGCAAAGUUCACGGUAUAUAACAGCCCUGGAAAGGUCUGAUAGCCAUCCUUUCCAGUGAUCCUGUUAAUUAACAAGGAUUCCUGUUUUCCUUAAGUUGUUUCUUAAUAUUUUAAGGGGUGGUGUCUCACCACCCUAUUUUUAGUUCCAUGGGGCAGGAAAACACCCCCACCCCCUCCAAACUGACGAUAUGACCAAGACCAGAGGUGCCAGGUACAUGACUUUAGCCUCCCCCAGCCACUGACCAUGAGACCCCAAACUGUUGAAUACCACGUGAAACCAGAGAACACUUCAAUCAUAUUACAGUAUAUUGUACAAAAUACAAGGUAACUGUGGACAAGAUUAAUGCAUUUGUUAUCUCCAAAUGCAUUAAGGAUGCCAUUGAUGAUGUGGAAAAUAUAGGAUGUUUACAAAUUGAAGAACUCUUAAGUUGAACUGUAUUACAUUAGCCAAGUCAAACCCACUCAGAUAAUUUUAUACUAUAAGUAGGUGAGAAAAGAGGUGGAAGGAGCCCAAACCCCUACACCUGGUGUUUUGUAUGCCCAAGUAGCCAAGACCAAGGUACAAAAGUGCAAUGUCUCGACUUCGGCAGACCCAACUUCCCUACAGACACUGAUUACCAAUGACAAGAUUAUUAUCCAUGACACAAUCAAUAUCUACCACUUUGACUAAUAAAAGCAUUAUGAAAGAAGGCAAAUAUUUCAACGAACUCUCCUGGUCUUCCCACCUCCCUUUCACAAAUUUAUCAGAGAUUGGGAUCGCAGGCGAUGGGUAAUGGCAGAGCAGUGCAUAAGUUCCUGGAAGUCCACAUCUGGAGACAUACCGGUAGGUCACUCUCCAGUCUGGCCCAUCAACUGGCCCCCAAAGCAAAACUCAGGAGAUUGAAUAUCUCAAAAGAGAAUGGAACAUAUAUCAAUAAAGAACAGGACUCGUCCUGGCAUAAUGGUUCCAUCCCGAGAUCAUCAGACCCCAUGUAGGUCAAUCACAUUAGGGGAUGGCCACAGAGCUGCUCCCUUAGAACACAUUAAAAGAAAAAAGUAAGAACUCAGGGGGCAUAUGCUGCCUGUAGUCACUUUUAAACUGUAAAUUCACUGUUUUACAGUGGAAUUGUAGAAGUGCUUGUAACAAAAAUGCAGAUUGUGCUUUUGAAAUCAAUACAUGUACCAGAUGUCUUCUCUUUAUAAGAGAUGCUCCUGGAGGGGAAGGAUAACCCCCAAUGUUCAUCCAGGAAAAAUAAUGGAAGAGGCAUUUUUAUCUACAUGAACAAAUGUAUUCUGCUAACAACCCCUUGCAGGCAGUAGCAUGCAGGGUGAAGUUUGAUACAACUUACAAAGCUAUUUGUUCUAUCUAUUCUAUAUCCCACCCAUGAGGUCCCUGGAUGUGGGAGCACUUGAAUCUCUUGUGAGGCUGUUACCCAGCAAAAUUCUCAUUAUGGAGAUUUCAGUGCUCAACAUCACACUUGGGAGAGUGAAAGGAGUGAUAUGAGAGGGGAGCAAAUGGUACCCUGUCGGUUAUAGAUUUAACUAUAAAUGAUGGGAACUUGUUCUCUGACACCAAAGUGAUGAUCACUUGGGAAGUGAAGUGACCAUUUGCUGAUCUGCAUUUCUUACAAAAUCUGUGCACUGGGUGCUGCUCUGGAAAUUUGAUUUAAUUUCAAGAAAGCAUAUUGAAGGUUAUUCACAAGGGAAGGCAUAAUUGACUGCCCAGACUCACAUAAAUCACACAUAUAGAAGACACAAUCAUUAACAUGGCAACAGAGGAAAUUCUGAAGAUUUCUUCAAAUUCUGGCAGGCUUGGAGUUCCAUGAUGGACACCAUAUUGCUAACAAGUGAUUCAAGAAUGAAAUAGGAGGUACAGAAUAUUCAAGUUAGCCUCUACUCAGAGCAAUCUCAUAGAUCAUAAAAAAGCUAGGGCUCAAGCACAAAGAGUUGUCAAGGAAGGCAAACACAGGUCCUGUCAAGAAUAUGUCUCCACUGUCAACUGAGACACCCCUUCCUCUGAAGUGUGGUCCAUUGUCAACUGGAUCAUGGGACAGUGAAGGAGUACUUUCAACCUCAACUUGAGAGUGAGGGUCAGAUUCUUGACAACUUCCAAGACAUUGCCACCAGAUUUAGCAGCUCCAUGAACUAUGAACCUCCAUAGGCUCCAAAGAAGGAGAGGGCUGAGAGGAUGUCCCUGUUUUUCGAUGGCAGGGAGUAGCAGGUCUAUAACUGAGUUUUCCAAAGUUGAUUGCAAUUGAGCUUUGAAGUUCUAUAAGGGUACCAGUCCUGGACCGGAUAGAAUUACAUAUGACACGUUGCAACACCUAAGUAGACCAAACCUGCUCAGGGUACUGCAAAUCCAUGAGUAUGAUGAUAUAUAGACGUCCGAGGCCUUCCUAGUCUCGUGGGGAUUUGCAUAUAUCAUACCUAUUCCAAACAUGAAUGGCAACCCUACAAAUCCAAGUUUGUUCUGACUUAUAGCACUCACGAAUUGUGCAUGUAAAGUCAUAGAAAAAAUUAUUAAAUGUAGGCUAAUGUUUUUCUUAGGAAAACCCCAAGUUAUUAAAUGAUCAGAAUUG